GACGAACGCUGGCGGCGUGCUUAACACAUGCAAGUCGAACGGAAAGGCCUGCUUUCCCUUGUGGAUUGCGGGUACUCGCGUGGCGAACGGGUGAGUAACACGUGAGUGAUCUGCCCCCAACUUGGGUAUAAGCCUGGGAAACUGGGUCUAAUUCCCGAUAGGACUGCAGGGUGGUGCCUGUGGUGGAAAAGGAUUUUCUAGUGGUUGGGGAUGAGCUCGCGGCCUAUCAGCUUGUUGGUGGGGUAAUGGCCUACCAAGGCGGCGACGGGUAGCCGGCCUGGGGGGGUGGACGGCCACAGUGGGACUGAGAUACGGCCCAGAAUCCUACGGGAGGCAGCAGUGGGGAAUAUUGCACAAUGGGCGGAAGCCUGAUGCAGCGACGCCGCGUGGGGGAUGACGGCCUUCGGGUUGUAAACUCCUUUCGACCGCGAGGAAGCCACCUGGUUGGAAGGGUGGUGACGGUAGUGGUAGAAGAAGCACCGGCUAACUACGUG
rnacentral:rRNA from 1 species